CAGGGAAUAGUUUAGGUAGAACUUCAGCUUUGGGUGCUGAUGGCGGAGCAAUCGCUUCUUCCUUGA
rnacentral:tRNA from 1 species